rnacentral:rRNA from 1 species
AUUGAACGCUGGCGGCAGGCCUAACACAUGCAAGUCGGACGGUAGCACAGAGAGCUUGCUCUCGGGCGACGAGUGGCGGACGGGUGAGUAAUGUCUGGGGAUCUGCCCGAUAGAGGGGGAUAACCACUGGAAACGGUGGCUAAUACCGCAUAACGUCUCAAGACCAAAGAGGGGGACCUUCGGGCCUCUCACUAUCGGAUGAACCCAGAUGGGAUUAGCCAGUAGGCGGGGUAAUGGCCCACCUAGGCGACGAUCCCUAGCUGGUCUGAGAGGAUGACCAGCAACACCGGAACUGAGACCCGGUCCAGACUCCUCCGGGAGGCAGCAUUGGGGAAUCUUGCACAAGGGGCGCAAGCCUGAGGCAGCCAUGCCGCGUGUAUGAAGAAGGCCUUCGGGUUGUAAAGUACUUUCAGCGGGGAGGAAGGCGGUGAGGUUAAUAACCUUGCCGAUUGACGUUACCCGCAGAAGAAGCACCGGCUAACUCCGUGCCAGCCGCCGCCGUAA